rnacentral:rRNA from 1 species
GUGCAUGGAGCGCUUACCAUGCAGUCGACGAUGAUGCCCAGCUUGCUGGGCGGAUUAGUGGCGAACGGGUGAGUAAUACGUGAGUAACCUGCCCUUGACUCUGGGAUAAGCCUGGGAAACUGGGUCUAAUACUGGAUACUACCUCCCACCGCAUGGUGGGUGGUGGAAAGGGUUUUACUGGUUUUGGAUGGGCUCACGGCCUAUCAGCUUGUUGGUGGGGUAAUGGCUCACCAAGGCGACGACGGGUAGCCRGCCUUGARMSGGUSACCGGCMACACUGGGACUGAGAACACGGYCCAGACUCCUACGGGAGGCAGCAGUGGGGAAUAUUGCACAAUGGGCGGAAGCCUGAUGCAGCGACGCCGCGUGAGGGGAUGACGGCCUUUCGGGUUGUAAACCCUCUUUCAGUAAGGGAAGAAGCGAGAGUGACGGGUACCUGCAGAAAGAAAGCGCCCGGCUAACUACGUGCCAGCAGCCCGCGGUAAUACGUAGGGCGCAAGCGUUGUCCGGAAUUAUUGGGCGUAAAGAGCUCGUAGGCGGUUUGUCGCGUCUGCUGUGAAAGCCCGGGGCUCAACCCCGGGUCUGCAGUGGGUACGGGCAGACUAGAGUGCAGUAGGGGAGACUGGAAUUCCUGGUGUAGCGGUGAAAUGCGCAGAUAUCAGGAGGAACACCGAUGGCGAAGGCAGGUCUCUGGGCUGUUACUGACGCUGAGGAGCGAAAGCAUGGGGAGCGAACAGGAUUAGAUACCCUGGUAGUCCAUGCCGUAAACGUUGGGCACUAGGUGUGGGGGACAUUCCACGUUUUCCGCGCCGUAGCUAACGCAUUAAGUGCCCCGCCUGGGGAGUACGGCCGCAAGGCUAAAACUCAAAGGAAUUGACGGGGGCCCGCACAAGCGGCGGAGCAUGCGGAUUAAUUCGAUGCAACGCGAAGAACCUUACCAAGGCUUGACAUUCACCGGACCGCCCCAGAGAUGGGGUUUCCCUUCGGGGCUGGUGGGACAGGUGGUGCAUGGGUUGUCGUCAGCUCGUGUCGUGAGAUGUUGGGUUAAGUCCCGCAACGAGCGCAAYCCUCGUUCUAUGUUGCCAGCACGUGGAUGKUGGGGACUCAUAGGAGACUGMCGGGKUCAACUCGKAGRAAGGUGGGGAUGACGUCAAAUCAUCAUGCCCCWUAUGAUCUUKGGSKWCACKCAUGCUACAAUGGCCGGUACAAAGGGUUGCGAUACUGUGAGGUGGAGCUAAUCCCAAAAAGCCGGUCUCAGUUCGGAUUGAGGUCUGCAACUCGACCUCAUGAAGUCGGAGUCGCUAGUAAUCGCAGAUCAGCAACGCUGCGGUGAAUACGUUCCCGGGCCUUGUACACACCGCCCGUCAAGUCACGAAAGUUGGUAACACCCGAAGCCGGUGGCCUAACCCCUUGUGGAGGAGCCUCGAACGUGACGCCG